rnacentral:rRNA from 1 species
UACGGGGGGGCAAGCGUUGUUCGGAAUUACUGGGCGUAAAGGGCUCGUAGGUGGCCAACUAAGUCAGACGUGAAAUCCCUCGGCUUAACCGGGGAACUGCGUCUGAUACUGGAUGGCUUGAGUUUGGGAGAGGGAUGCGGAAUUCCAGGUGUAGCGGUGAAAUGCGUAGAUAUCGGGAGGAACACCUGAGGCGAAGGCGGGCUACUGGGCCGAUACUGACGCUGAUGCGCGAAAGCCAGGGGAGCGAACGGG